rnacentral:rRNA from 1 species
GACGAACGCUGGCGGCGUGCCUAAUACAUGCAAGUCGAACGCAGUGGGGACGGGUGAGUAACCCGUGGGUAACCUCCCAUCAGAGGGGAUAACACUUGGAAACAGGUGCUAAACCGAUACUGAUGGAUGGAACCGCGUGGAAGUAGCUAGUUGGUGGGGUAAUGGCUAACCAAGGCAACGAUCCAUAGCCGGCCUGAGAUGGUGAUCGGCCACACUGGGACUGAGACACGGCCCAGACUCCUACGGGAGGCAGCAGUGGGGAAUCUUGCGCAAUGGACGAAAGUCUGACCCAGCAACGCCGCGUGUGUGAAGAAGGUUUUCGGAUCGUAAAGCUCUUUUGUCAGAGAAGCGUUAUCUGACCAGAAAGCCACGGCUAACUACGUGCCAGCAGCCGCGGUAAUAC